GACGAACGCUGGCGGCGCGCCUAACACAUGCAAGUCGAACGAGCGAGAGAGAGCUUGCUUUCUCGAGCGAGUGGCGAACGGGUGAGUAACGCGUGAGGAACCUGCCUCAAAAGAGGGGGGACAACAGUUGGAAACGACUGCUAAUACCGCAUAAGCCCACAGCUCGGCAUCGAGCAGGAGGAAAGGNGCAAUCCGCUUUGAGAUGGCCUUGCGUCCGAUUAGCUGGUUGGUGAGGUACGGCCACCAAGGCGACGAUCGGUAGCCGGACUGAGAGGUUGAACGGCCAUAUUGGACUGAGACACGGCCCAGACUCCUACGGGAGGCAGCAGGUGGGGAAUAUUGCAC
rnacentral:rRNA from 1 species